rnacentral:rRNA from 1 species
GAUGAACGCUAGCGGCAGGCCUAAUACAUGCAAGUCGGACGGGAUUGAGAAGCUUGCUUUUCAUGAGAGUGGCGCACGGGUGCGUAACACGUAUGUAACCUACCCAUAUCAGGGGGAUAGCCUCUCGAAAGAGAGAUUAAGACCGCAUAACAUUAUUGAAUGGCAUCAUUUAAUAAUCAAAUAUUUAUAGGAUAUGGAUGGGCAUGCGGAACAUUAGCUAGUUGGUAAGGUAACGGCUUACCAAGGCUACGAUGUUUAGGGGAUCUGAGAGGAUGACCCCCCACACUGGUACUGAGACACGGACCAGACUCCUACGGGAGGCAGCAGUAAGGAAUAUUGGUCAAUGGACGGAAGUCUGAACCAGCCAUGCCGCGUGCAGGAAGACGGCCCUAUGGGUUGUAAACUGCUUUUGCAGGGGAAUAAACCUCGAUACGUGUAUCGAGCUGAAUGUACUCUGAGAAUAAGGAUCGGCUAACUCCGUGCCAGCCGCCGCGGUAA